GCCUGGAGCCGAGUGGACCGUUGCGGAUUGGAAGAUCGGGGAUGUGGUCCCCCUGGCCUUCGGCGUCACCGUUAAGGGCUUCGUCGAGUUCGUUCCGGGAGAGGGACUCGGUCUCGGGGGCGGCGGUUUUGCCACGUUCCACAUGGGCUUCAAGGGCUUGGAUAUCCCCGAGUUCUUUCAGAAGAUUGACUGGUAUGCGGGUCU
rnacentral:rRNA from 1 species